UGGGUAAUGGGAGCGGGGAGGAGGACUCUGGGUAAUGGGAGCGGGGAGGAGGACUCUGGGUAAUGGGAGCGGGGAGGAGGACUCUGGGUAAUGGGAGCGGGGAGGGGGACUCUGGGUAAUGGGAGGGAGGAUUUAGAGUGACAACUCAACUCUGGGUAAUGGGAGUGGCGACGACAUGCAGGACCAGGGGUUAUGGAAGCAGCGACUCAGGGAAUGGAAACAAUGCCCUGGAUUUUGUUUGUCGCUGCGCUUAUUACCCAAGUUGGUGGGUUUGUGUAGUUUAUGGUUAAUAGUUUUGACCGUGCACUUUCGAUACUAUGAAAAGCUGGAGUUUGACGAUUCAUAGGGAUAUGUUCUUUGUAUGGCUGUUUAAUAGUCUCUAACAUCCUAAAAUCUCUUCUGAGACACCAAAACGCCCUCCGGGUUCUCCAGUCUCUUGUAACUUUGAGUACUUUGUAGUAAGGGCGCUCUUCUAAUCUUUGUAAUCUAG